CUUUGUACAGGUGACCCAGAGGGUCACACAGUGACAGGAGACCGUCAGCACACAUCAGUCCCGGAAAACACAGGCAGCCUGGGGCCCAGCAUCCAGCAGCCCCUGGGCACAGAGCAAGGCCAGCAGGACAAUGUUAUUGAGGAGGUAGGUUCCGUUGACCAAUCAAAGGGCUCUGAUGAGGACAUUCCCGGCAGCACAGAUGGCAAUGACCUUUCCCAAAUCCUGGGAGAUCCCGAAGCUGAGAGUGAGCUCCCGGCUCCACCCAAUGGGGUACCUGGCCCCGAAUCAGUGGGCAAGCCCGUUGAGGAGAUCGGGAGCGGCGUCCUCCUGGACGAGAGUCCCGCACUACGCCAGCGACGUCACGUGGGGACUCCGGCCGUUAAAACCGGCCUGAGACCGCCCCCAGCUGGUGAAGAGGAGGACGACAGUGGAGGCCUCACCCUGAACAAGUGCCUCUUGGUGGCCCUGCUGCUGGUGGGGGUCGGUUUUGGGAUUUUUGGUAAGUUCUGGGCCUUCCCUCAA